rnacentral:rRNA from 1 species
CCUACGGGAUGCAGCAGUGAGGAAUAUUGGUCAAUGGGCGGGAGCCUGAACCAGCCAAGCCGCGUGAGGGACGAAGGUACAGCGUAUCGUAAACCUCUUUUGUCAGGGAACAAAGGCGGGGACUAGUCCCCGGAUGAGGGUACCUGAAGAAAAAGCAUCGGCUAACUCCGUGCCAGCAGCCGCGGUAAUACGGAGGAUGCGAGCGUUAUCCGGCUUUAUUGGGUUUAAAGGGUGCGCAGGCGGCCUGUUAAGUCAGCGGUAAAAGCCCGGGGCGCAACCCCGGCGAGCCGUUGAAACUGGCGGGCUGGAGUUGGAGAGAAGUACGCGGAAUGCGCGGUGUAGCGGUGAAAUGCGUAGAUAGACGGAGGAACACCAGUGGCGAAGGCGGAUUGCUGGACAGUAACUGACGCUGAGGCGCGAAAGCGUGGGGAGCAAACAGGAUUAGAUACCCGAGUAGUC